GGAAGGGCUUCGCUGCCCGAGAAUGGGAAUUCUCUUCACCAGGAUAUGGAGACUGUUCAAUCACCAGGAACACAAAGUUAUCAUUGUUGGAUUGGAUAAUGCAGGGAAAACUACCAUCCUUUACCAGUUUUCUAUGAAUGAAGUUGUACAUACAUCCCCUACAAUAGGAAGUAAUGUAGAAGAGAUAGUGAUUAAUAAUACAUGUUUCCUGAUGUGGGAUAUCGGUGGCCAAGAAUCUCUUCGCUCAUCCUGGAAUACUUACUAUACUAAUACAGAGUUUGUAAUAGUUGUUGUGGACAGUACAGACAGAGAGAGGAUUUCUGUAACUAGAGAAGAACUCUACAAAAUGCUGGCUCAUGAGGACUUAAGAAAAGCAGGACUGCUGAUUUUUGCUAAUAAACAAGAUGUUAAAGAAUGCAUGACUGUAGCAGAAAUCUCCCAGUUCUUGAAGCUUACUUCUAUUAAAGAUCACCAGUGGCAUAUCCAGGCAUGCUGUGCUCCUACUGGAGAAGGAUUAUGCCAAGGGCUUGAGUGGAUGAUGUCACGGCUGAAGAUUAGAUGAUCUCUGCUGACCUCUUCUCAUGGACUUAUAUAAACAGAGUGCUGGACUUUACCUGAAAGCUGCAAAAAUCAAUGGUUUAGAUAUAUUUAUAAUAAACUGACUU